UCUGCAAUAGUCCGUUUAAAAAAUCGCUGAAGGAAGAAGAGAGAUGUCCCUGUUCCCUUGGAGAUACAGACAACUCUGGGAGCUGAACUUGGACCACCCCCUGGACAAGAAAGAAAAGAGCAUCUUACAACUGUCUACACAUAAGCAGAACUGUUCCUAACACUGUGCGCUUUCCUGCAGUCUGUCCGGUGGUGUCCAGCAUCUCCUACACAUUGGAAGACUGCACAUAGGGCUUUCCUGCAGUCUGUCCCUUGGUGUCCAGCUCCUCCUACACGUGGAAGACUGCACACAGGGCUUUCCUGCAGUCAGUCCCAAGAUGUCCACCUCCUCACACACGUGGAAGACUGCAUGCAG